AUUGAACGCUGGCGGCAGGCCUAACACAUGCAAGUCGAACGAGUGGCGGACGGGUGAGUAAUGUCUGGGAAACUGCCUGAUGGAGGGGGAUAACUACUGGAAACGGUAGCUAAUACCGCAUACCAUCAGAUGUGCCCAGAUGGGAUUAGCUAGUUGGUGGGGUAACGGCUCACCAAGGCGACGAUCCCUAGCUGGUCUGAGAGGAUGACCAGCCACACUGGAACUGAGACACGGUCCAGACUCCUACGGGAGGCAGCAGUGGGGAAUAUUGCACAAUGGGCGCAAGCCUGAUGCAGCCAUGCCGCGUGUAUGAAGAAGGCCUUCGGGUUGUAAAGUACUUUCGUUAGGGAGGCGGUACCGGAAGAAGAAGCACCGGCUAACUCCGUGCCAGCAGCCGCGGUAAUAC
rnacentral:rRNA from 1 species